AUAAUGCAGUCGGUGUCCGUUCUUCGAGGGAACGUUCUCGUUUUAGAGCGGUUAACGAUAUAUCGGUGCUUUCGGCUCGCGUAAUCGUUAUUGGAUCAUAAACGUGCACCGGCGAAAGGAAUAUGCAUGGCGUUCCUGGACUGUUCGGUUAAACUUUACUAGUGUACUCUACUAAUCACUUUGAUGAAAGGUUGUCGUGCAAAUGUAGGUCUGCGAAUAUGUCGCUCCAGCUGACGGACAUUGAAAAUUGCACGUUGGUGGACACGUUCCAGCAUUCGAUGGAACUGUUAAUCUGAAUUUUAUUUGACGUUUCUGGGAUACCGUGACUGGACGUGAACAAUAAUGCUUAGACAGGGAAGAAACGAGGGUAAUACAUUAGCAAACGAUGUAUUUAAGUGUCUCUACUUCGAAUACUUUCCGAGGUACACUUGGCAUCUUUACGAGAGUGAAUGUAGAAGGUUUCCUAAUAAUAGUAAUGUUUAGACGUGUACACUAAAAUGUAUCUUGAAAGGCAGUGAUACACUGAAAGAAAAUGUAGAAAAAUAUCGAUUCCUUGCCGGAACAACUCGUGCCACAAGUGGAUUCAUGAGCCCUUUGUUAGACCCCGCACGGAAAUUACAUGCUCCAGCUUACUGUAAUCAUUAAUGCUGGGAAUGGAGGAGGAGAGAAAAGGCAAGAGUUCGCGAGUUUCGAUUGGAAUCUCGUAUUAGCGAAUAACUUUCGGGGGCGUCGCCACAACACAGAGCGUCCCUAAACUGUUUGACGAAAGUUUCCUAGGGUUCUCUACUAAUUGAUGGGUCCGGUCCGGGAGCCAGGUAUCUCCAUAUUACAAUGACAAUCGAUUAAGUGCGUAGGAAUACCUCAUUAAUUCUUGUAAUACACAAAAUCAGUCUAAAAAUAUAUAGUAUAGUUAGUAAGUUAUGCAUUGACAAUAAAAGGUCAUCCAGAAGAGGCUCCAAGAUUUGUUUUUUUAAUAACAUCCUUCAUGUUUGAUUGUAAUCACGAGUAGGUACUUUUAUUUUAAAUAAAGGAAUUGGAAAUAUAUUCCAUACCAUUUCUGGUUCAUUAAACAACAGAAUCGUGUCAAUAAUAAAAAAAAGGCGUCAUUUUCAAAAUUUUAAAAGAGAUCAAUUUACUUCCGCGAACCAAGUUGAUCGCCAUUUAGUCGUCGACUAAUUUCUUUCCAAAUUGUCGUCACCUAUUGAUGAUUGAUUCAUCCUGAUUUCUCUUCAAUCUCAUCCCCUUGUGUAUUUCCAACUAAUUAAAUAAUAAAUCCUAGCGAUCCUUAACUGGCAAAAAUCAACAAUUUUUAUCAUCAAACAUACUCCAACAACGUCACGCCUAGUAACAUACAUCCUGCCCUUCCAAUAUAUAUGAAGCUAUCAAUGAUUAGGUGUCGAACCAGCGGAAAUUUCAUUUAAACGACCCCGUAGCGUUAACCAAAAUUUACGUUCGAGCUGUCCCAACCCUGCUCCCAGCGGCGUGGCGCAUUAGAUCUCCUUGAAGCUUCAGCCUCGAAUAAUUUAUAGACCGCGCGCUGGAACAUAGUCCUCGGGAGCCGCCAUUGGCUCCGCGAGCGGGCCACGAAACGUAUUGUUCCAGGAUCGUGUUGCCGGCCGUGUACGUACAUUUAUUCAAAUAUAUCGGUUACGUCGCGUACGAGGACCUUACAGAAACGUGCCAACGUAGAACGUCACAGGAAGCAGGUCGUUAAUCUGCGGCUACGAUCUCAUUUCCACUAAUUGGCUGAUAGGGACGCCCGAUACGGACGAUACCGGGGUACGUACGCGGACACACGUGCAACCACAAAGACCCACGUCGGGGGAAAGGCUGCGGAAUAAAAAAAAAAAGAAAGCAAGACCGCACUUACGUACGCGCGCGUGCUGCACGAGAUUUUCAGGGGGCUAAAGAGCUCGUUCAUUCGUUGAUUCCGUGGGUGGCAAGGGAUUCAUCGGUUUUGGGAGCAUGGUAAUCGAUUUGAGGGAUGACAGGACCUGAAAGGGUAAAAAGUGACUGAUUCAGGGGAUUUUUCUAUGAUGAAAUUGGAGUAAAAUAGGUUUAUGGUUUCUAGUGGAUGGUUGAGGGAGAUGUUGGCGUGGGAUUAGGUGUUUCGUCGGUAAUAUUGAGUAUGCUGUCACUAAAACAGAGGAUAUUGUCGAUAAAAGAGAGAAGAUUGUUGUUAAAACAGUGUACAUUACUGGUAAACCAAAUCUAGCUGUUGGUAAAGUAGAUAACACUGUUGAUAAGUCAAAGCGUCCUGUUUUAACGACAGUGGAGUCUGUUUUACCCAUAAAAUAUCUUCUCGUUUACCUGUACCUGCCUCAUUUAAGUUCCAAAAACCUAGCUGUACCCUUCGAAAACUCUCUUUACUUCUACGAAAAGUGUCUCCUAAAUAAAUUAAAGAUACAUGUUGCGAAUACAUAUAAAAAUAUAUGAGCCUUCUAUUUAUCACAACAAUCACUCUCUUUACUCUUACUCAUUUCAACAAAUAUUUAUUACUGCGCGUGCGUAGCCAUACACGGUAAUACGUGCAAUAGUCAUAAAGACAGGGGAGAGGCUGAUUAAAAAAAAAAAAGAAAAAAAUGCGAGAGUGCACUCGCGUACGCGCGUGCUGCACGAGAUUUUCAGAGGGUUAAAGAGCCCUCUUCUCGAGCUCGUCUCCCGACGUGCUCGGCCCUUGAUCGUCGACUUGUUCAGCCCUCGCUAUGCCUAUCGCUCCGUUUCCUUUUUUCUCCCCUCUUGCCUUCGUACGACGACGCCUUCCGUCCGUGAAUUUCUGCGUUUUCCCCUCUCGCGACGUUGCUCAAGCAUGGAGCAGCGACAUACGAGAGAAUUACACGCGGAGGAAAUACGCGGGGGGAACGAUACGUUGAGAGGGCAAGGGAGAACGAUGGAGGGAGUGGUUAACAUGGAGUUAAUCCAAACAAUAGGUGUGUAUAAUCCAGCCCAGGAUACAUAGAUGUACAAAUACACGUUCAUCUUUGAAGGGGAGGAGUGGAACUAAAGUUUCGCAUUGGAAAUAUUUAAUAAUAAUUUGAAAUGUUUUAAACAAUUUGUUGUUUCAUUUUGGUAUAUUUUCUGUAAAUUCAUAACACAACUAUGACUUUUUCUGUUAAUUUCUAAAGCUGAAAGGUUGGUCAAUUAUUUUGAAAUUGUUUUAGAUUUUUCACGAAUGCUUAUAGGCUACUCGUUAUGCGUCUGUGUUUAUUUUGAAUUCUUUCGAUUUGAGAGUUAUACCAAUAUCAAUAUAAUUUUGAAAAACACAAUUAUUCUAAAUGAUCAUAAAAUGAAAUGAUAUAUUCUACGCCAUAAUGUUUCAAAUACUAUUAUUUAAAAAGUGAUCACAGCUAUGGAAAUAAUUAUGAAAUAAAAUUACGUUAGUGCAGACUUUUGCUCAACCCCCAUUUCUGUUUCAUAUUAUUCGUUCUGCUAUUUCGUGCGUCGAUUAAAACGAAUCUGGACUUUCUAAACGGAGUGUCUUUCAUCCAGAAAAUCGCAUUUACGUGACAACUGUAUGCAUCGUUAGCGGUGAAAGGUUACGCGGAUACGCGUUGGCACGCCAAGGUUUAAGCUUUCAGCUAACCACCCGCGAUUUCGCUUUUACGACUAGCAUCAUCGUCGAUAAG